GUUAAUAAUUUGUAAUGUUGUUGCUUGUAUAGGAGCGUGAUCCAGUUGAUCGACGAUCACCUCCGUCGAGGGCAUCACCACCUCCGCCGGAGAUGCCGCCGACAGCAUCUCAUCCUCCGCCAGAGAUGCCGCCGACGGCAUCUCCUUCGUCGUUGAAAGCAUCUCCUCUGCCUCCCCCGUCCAAAGACCUCUCACGUGGAUCUCCCGCACGUAGUCAGGGCACUAUUUUGAUGAUCUGUACGCUCGUCUAAGCAGAUUUAUAGAGGGGCAGGUCGACGGGCUGCGUCGAGAGAUGAUAGAGAGGGUUGAUGAUCUGGGACGACAGUUGGUAGGAAGGGUCGAAGGUUUGUCGAAUGAGAUUGCAACACUUAGGGGUGAUAUAGCCGGUAGGCGAUGAGUUGACGGAGACGGUGAUCGAGAGGGUGAUCGAGAGGGUGAUAGGGAUGGGGUGAUAGAGAUGGGGGUCUCCGACAGUCAUACAUACAUGAUGACGAUGCAUGAGACUCGUUUAUUUUAUCCGUAGAGCGCGAUGGGACGGGAGUAGUGACAGAGGAGGGGGGCCCGUCGGGGAGGGAGACGGAGGCAGAUGAGGGAGUGGCCCCGUCGGGGACGGAGACGGUGGCAGAUGUGGGAGUGGCUCCGUCAGGGACGGAGACGAAGGCAGAUGUUGGAUCGGCAGAUGAGGGGAUGGAGGAUGUGGCGAGCCUUGGGGUGGAGGAGGUGGCAGUGUAUCAGGCAAAAAAGCGUGUUGUUGACAUGCCGGAGACAGUGGUCGGCAAGAGACCGAGAGUGCUGUCACAGUACGUCGUCUCUUCCUUCACGGCUGAGGCGAAGAGGAGGAGGUUCGUCGAUGGGACGUACCCCAAUCUGUUUCGAGAGGUCAACCAUGCGAAGUGGGAAGCAUUCGAGGCUGAGUGGCGAAGAAUGUUGCCCGGAGCCACACACAUGAUAGUCGGAAGGACGAUAUUUGACGCAUGCAAGUGGUUCCAUGAUAUCACCACUUAGGGGGCUUGGCUCGUCUACGAUCACAUAGACAUGGCCAUGGACUUGUUGCGCGAUCGAGUUAAGAGAUAUCCAAAAUCAUUUCACAAGCCUAGCCGCAUUAUACUGAACACCGAGUUCUUCCGUACCGUUACUAUUGAGUAUCUGUCCCUCCAGCUUCUAGGUAACGAGUACGUGCUUCCAGCGUAUAUGCUCAAGUGGAUCAUCGGGCCGUCACCGAGUGUUGGGGAAAAGUCAUGGAAGGGUUGUACGCAUUUGUACAUUCCAGUUAUCACGAAUCGACACUGUAUUGCACUGGAGAUCGUUUUCACUGAUUCGACGAUAUAUGUGUACAACCCCGAUUAUUCAUAUCUGACACAGGGACAGCUCGAGCAGAUCUUAGAGCUGAUGACUGUGAUUGUUCCUAUGAUGGCUAGACAUGCGGGCUUGUCUGGGAUGACAAACUAGCCAUCGUGCGGGACAUGACGACGACUAGACAGUCUAUAUCGGGCGAUUGUGGGAUUUUCGCAAUCAAAUACAUAGAAUUUUUUAGUAUAGCACAUAAGGUUGAUGGAAUCAACCAAUCAUGGAUACAGAAUUGGCGAAAUAAGUUAGCGUGUGAUUUAUAUGAAUUUAAUUG